rnacentral:lncRNA from 1 species
CUCUUGCCUGCCACCAUGAAAGGCAUGUCUUGCUUUCCCUUUCCUUCCACCGUGAUUGUGAGCCCUCCCCAGCCAUGUGGAACUGUGGACUUUUUCAGCUCCAUCGUAAUCUAAUGGGACCACCGUGGCACACGGGUCCGUUGUUGACCCAGCACGUCAUUUUGCAGUGCAUGACAGCACUCCAGGUUGCUGUUUCUGACCACUGCACAGCACCACCCACUGUGAUCCUUCCUGUUACUUCUCCAGCCCCUGGUGAAGAGCUGCCUCCAACUUCCUGCGCUCACCUGCAAUACUACAGAAAGCAAGCAGAGCGCCUUAUAGAUGCACCAGAGAGUCUACGUCUACAAAGAACAAGGAGCUGAGAACCUACCAUAAAAAACUUCCAUCAAAAGGAAUAUGUAUCUUGCUUCUUGGAAAGGGAAGUUUACUUUUCUGGGGCAGGGCUUAAGGAAGUGUCCCAGCAAGACACUUGCUGAUGACUGAGCUCCGGUCAACACUGCUAGGAAGUGUCUUGGGAGUGGUGGGAAAGAACAUCAGCUCGGGGUGGGGAGCGCUGAGGGAGUUGCCUAAGAGAGGACAUAGAAGGGGCAGAGUCAGCACUACAAAUACAAGAAGUUUACUUUUGGUGCAAAUGACAGUUCCUAUUUAUUGAAAGCCUGAUGUGGAACAUGUUGAGAUUAGAGCAGGUUUCUAAAGGAUACCCAUCACCACCUUCUUGUAGUCCCCACCCUGUUCCAAACCAUUUAAAAUAAGAGAGGAGUCUGGCAGGUGGAGAACAAAAUGGGAGAGACAGCAUUGGAGAGCUCAGGUGAGGUUUAAGGCAACAACAGGCUUCUGCUGACCAGAAUCAGCCUGACUUGCACCUGGUACUGGGCAGUAGUGGAAAAAUGCUGACCUUCCCAUGUAGUGUGCCUCCCCAGAAACACAUAACGUAUGGAGGAGCCGGGCAGAAUGUGUGCUUCUGGUGGCAGCUGAAUUCCAAAGGAAACGUAGAUAGGAGGCAGGUGUACCUAUGCCCAUUUCCUACUCCCAAAUUUGCCAAGGAGGUAAUUCCUCCUUGCGGAAUCCUGAGCACAGGACCAGAAAGGAGCCAGGAGUGUUACAUGCAUCGAUGUCCCUCCACAUGGAAACACACAGCAAGGGGAAAGGAGGUUCCACAUAAGAGGUACUGUCCUAGGAGUGUUAAGUGUUUUAUCUCUAAAAUACUUCAGAACAACCUGUAAAGAGGAUAUUCAGAUCUCCAUUUUAAGAUGUAGAAACUAACGAGAUCCUGUAAUUUGCAACAACAUGGAUGGAACUGGAAGUUAUUAAGGGGAUAAGUCAGGCACAGAAAGACAAACUUCACAUAUUCUCACUUGUUUGCGAGAGCUAACAAUUAUAACAUUUGAACUCAUGGAGAUAGAGACUAGAAGGGUGGCUACCAGAGGCUGAGAAGGGUAGAGGGGGAAAUGCUAGCGGGAAGUGGAGAUGGUUACUAGGUACAGAAAAAUAGCUAGAAAGCAUGAAUAAGGGCCAGACACAAUGGCUCAUGCCUGUAAUCCCAACAUUUUAGGAGGCCAAGGCAGGAGGAUUGCUUGAGCCCAGGAGUUUGAGACCACCCUGGGCAACAUAGUGAGACUUCAUCUCUACAAAAAAAAGGAAGAUAUAAUGGUGUGCACCUAUAGUCUCAGCUACUUGGGAAGCUGAGGUGGGAGGAUCAUUUGAGCCUGGAAGGCAGAAGUUACAGUGAGCUGAGUUUGUGCUGCUGCACUCCAGCCUGGGUGACAGAGCAAGACCCUGUCAACAAAGAAAGAGAGAAAGGGGGUAUGGGGAAUAGGAGGGAGGGAAGAAGGAAAGAAGCAAGAGACCUAGUAUUUGACAGCACUACAGGGUGACUAUAGUCAAUAAUAAUUUAAUUGUACAUUUAAAAAUAACUAAAAUAGUAAAAUUGGAUUGUUUGUAACACAAAGGAUAAAUGCUUGAGGGGAUGGAUACCCCAUUAACUCUGAUGGGAUUAUUGUACAUUGCAUGCCUGUAUCAAAAUAUCCAAUCUAUGUCAUAAAUAUAUAUACCUACUAUGUACCCACAAAAAUUAAAAAUUUAAAGCAAAACAAAGAUGAGGAACCUGAGAAGAGUUAAUAAGGGCACAGCAUCAUACAGCUGGCAGGUGGUGGAGCUGGGAUUUGCAUGCAUGUCUUUCUGAAUUGCUAUCUCUUGCUCUUUCUAGCAGGAUGCACUGUCCUUCCACUUUAGAAGCACGUCCACUUCCGCAUAGCCCUUCUCCUGUCUGAGAACCCUUGCUAAAAAGGCAAGCAGUUAGGUCUGGAUGUAGGUGCCAUAAACAUAGUAAAAAUAUUUAACAAAAAAAAAAACUUGAUUAAAGAAAUUCGGAAUAGGGAGUGGUUGUUCUGAUGAGAGUGAUCAGGCAGCAGAAGUGCUAUUUAAGCUGGAUUUGGAAGAAGAAAUCGUGUUCCACUGGACAGUAUGCUUUUUGCUUCUCAUUAUUCUGGUUUGGUGGGGCAUAAGAAUCAGUCCAGAGAUCCCUUGCUCUUUUCUCAGGUGUUAAUUUCAAGGUAUUGGUUUAAGUUUGGGUUCCACCAUCAAUUAGCUGGGGCAGGUUUCUUCCUCUUUCUAAGUUUUGGUGUCUUCAUCUGUAAAAGGUGAUUGUGGUAAAGACUAAAUUAGAUGGUGUCUAUGAAAGUGUUUGGCUCAUAGCCUGUUUUUUUUCC